rnacentral:rRNA from 1 species
GGUGAACGCUGGCGGCGUGCCUAAUACAUGCAAGUCGAGCGAACGGACGAGAAGCUUGCUUCUCUGAUGUUAGCGGCGGACGGGUGAGUAACACGUGGAUAACCUACCUAUAAGACUGGGAUAACUUCGGGAAACCGGAGCUAAUACCGGAUGAUAUUUUGAACCGCAUGGUUCAAAAGUGAAAGACGGUCUUGCUGUCACUUAUAGAUGGAUCCGUGCUGCAUUAGCUAGUUGGUAAGGUAACGGCUUACCAAGGCAACGAUGCAUAGCCGACCUGAGAGGGUGAUCGGCCACACUGGAACUGAGACACGGUCCAGACUCCUACGGGAGGCAGCAGUAGGGAAUCUUCCGCAAUGGGCGAAAGCCUGACGGAGCAACGCCGCGUGAGUGAUGAAGGUCUUCGGAUCGUAAAACUCUGUUAUUAGGGAAGAACAUAUGUGUAAAUAACUGUGCACAUCUUGACGGUACCUAAUCAGAAAGCCACGGCUAACUACGUG